rnacentral:rRNA from 1 species
GGUACUUGUACAGUGAAGUGGCUGAUACCAUGCUUCCAGGAAAAGUCUCUAAGCUUCAGUUACACAGGAAUCGUACCCGAAACCGACACAGGUGGUCAGGUCGAGUAGACCAAAGCGCUUGAGAGAACUCUGCUGAAGGAACUAGGCAAAAUGGUACCGUAACUUCGGGAGAAGGUACGCUGCCGACGGUGAUGGGAUUUACUCCCUGAGCGGUUGGCAGCCACAGAAACCAGGCCCCUGCAACUGUUUAUUAAAAACAUAGCACUCUGCAAACACGAAAGUGGACGUAUAGGGUGUGAUGCCUGCCCGGUGCUGGAAGGUUAAUUGAUGGGGUUAGCGUAAGCGAAGCUCUUGAUCGAAGCCCCAGUAAACGGCGGCCGUAACAAUAACGGUCCUAAGGCAGCGAAAUUCCUUGUCGGGUAAGUUCCGACCUGCACGAAUGGCAUAAUGAUGGGGGCGCUGUCUCCAGCAGAGACUCAGUGAAAUCGAAUUCGCCGUGAAGAUGCGGUGUACCCGCGGCUAGACGGAAAGACCCCGUGAACCUUUACUGCAGCUUGACAUUGAACUUUGAUCUUACUUGUGUAGGAUAGGUGGGAGGCUUUGAAACUCGGACGCUAGUUCGAGUGGAGCCAAUCUUGAAAUACCACCCUGGUAAUAUUGAGGUUCUAACUCUGCUCCAUUAUCUGGAGCGAGGACCAUGUCUGGUGGGUAGUUUGACUGGGGCGGUCUCCUCCUAAAGAGUAACGGAGGAGUACGAAGGUGCGCUCAGCGUGGUCGGAAAUCACGCGUAGAGUAUAAAGGCAAAAGCGCGCUUAACUGCGAGACCCACAAGUCGAGCAGGUACGAAAGUAGGUCUUAGUGAUCCGGUGGUUCUGUAUGGAAGGGCCAUCGCUCAACGGAUAAAAGGUACUCUGGGGAUAACAGGCUGAUACCGCCCAAGAGUUCAUAUCGACGGCGGUGUUUGGCACCUCGAUGUCGGCUCAUCUCAUCCUGGGGCUGAAGCAGGUCCCAAGGGUAUGGCUGUUCGCCAUUUAAAGAGGUACGCGAGCUGGGUUUAGAACGUCGUGAGACAGUUCGGUCCCUAUCUACCGUGGGCGUUGGAAAUUUGAGAGGAUCUGCUCCUAGUACGAGAGGACCAGAGUGGACGAACCUCUGGUGUACCGGUUGUGACGCCAGUCGCAUCGCCGGGUAGCUAUGUUCGGAAGGGAUAACCGCUGAAAGCAUCUAAGCGGGAAGCCUACCUCAAGAUAAGAUUUCCCAAGGACUUUAUGUCCUCUAAAGAGCCGUUGAAGACUACGACGUUGAUAGGUUGGAUGUGGAAGUGCAGUGAUGCAUGAAGCUGACCAAUACUAAUUGCUCGUGAGGCUUGACUA